rnacentral:rRNA from 1 species
CGAGGGAUCCUAGCGUUGUUCGGAAUCAUUGGGCGUAAAGGGUGUGUAGGCGGACUUGUAAGUCAGUUGUGAAAGCCCCGGGCUCAACCCGGGAAGUGCUUCUGAUACUGCUUGUCUUGAGUAUUGGAUAGGUGAGUGGAAUUCCAGGUGUAGUGGUGAAAUACGUAGAUAUCUGGAGGAACACCGGCGGCGAAGGCGGCUCACUGGCCAUAUACUGACGCUGAAACACGAAAGCGUGGGUAGCAAACAGGAUU